rnacentral:rRNA from 1 species
CUCGGGUUGAUCCUGCCGGACCUGACUGCUAUCGGAUUGGUACUAAGCCAUGCGAGUCGUUGUAGCAAUACAAGGCGGACGGCUCAGUAACACGUAGUCAACCUAACCUAUGGACGUGGAUAACCUCGGGAAACUGAGAAUAAACCGCGAUAGAUCAUUAUGCCUGGAAUGGCUUAUGGUUCAAACAAUUUAUUGCCGUAGGAUGGGACUGCGGCCUAUCAGCUUGUUGGUGAGGUAAUGGCCCACCAAGGCUAUAACAGGUACGGGCUCUGAGAGGAGAAGCCCGGAGAUGGGUACUGAGACACGGACCCAGGCCCUAUGGGGCGCAGCAGGCGAGAAACCUUAGCAAUGUGCGAAAGCACGACUAGGUUAAUCCGAGUGAUUUCUGUUGAAGAAAUCUUUUGUCAGUCGUAAAACCACAGACGAAUAAGGGGUGGGCAAGUCUGGUGUCAGCCGCCGCGGUAAUACCAGCACCUCGAGUGGUCAGGAGGUUUAUUGGGCCUAAAGCAUCCGUAGCCGGCUACGCAAGUCUCCGGUUAAAUCCAGCUGCUCAACAGAUGGGCUGCCGGAGAUACUACAUAGCUAGGGAGCGGGAGAGGUAGACGGUAUUCUGUGGGUAGGGGUAAAAUCCACUGAUCCAUAGAGGACCACCAGUGGCGAAGGCGGUCUACCAGAACGCGUUCGACGGUGAGGGAUGAAAGCUGGGGGAGCAAACCGGAUUAGAUACCCGGGUAGUCCCAGCUGUAAACGAUGCAAACUCGGUGAUGCAUUGGCUUAUGGCCAAUGCAGUGCCGCAGGGAAGCCGUUAAGUUUGCCGCCUGGGAAGUACGGACGCAAGUCUGAAACUUAAAGGAAUGGCGGGGGAGCA